rnacentral:rRNA from 1 species
ANCGGGAUAACUUCGGGAAACCGGAGCUAAUACCGGAUAAUAUUUCGAACCGCAUGGUUCGAUAGUGAGAGGUGGUUUUGCUAUCACUUAUAGAUGGACCCGCGCCGUAUUAGCUAGUUGGUAAGGUAACGGCUUACCAAGGCGACGAUACGUAGCCGACCUGAGAGGGUGAUCGGCCACACUGGAACUGAGACACGGUCCAGACUCCUACGGGAGGCAGCAGAU